CCAUGGAAGAGCAUGUUUGGUGGUAGCACGUUUCUAGGUCUCUCUCCUCGAGAUAGGCGUAUUAUGUGCGUGAGUCUACUCUUCUCGCCGCCAUGACCCUGCCUUGUGUUCUUUGCCGUUGAAGCCUCUAGUCUGCAGGAAUCCAGCAGUGUGCUGUCUGACUGGUUGACAUCUGUUCUGCUGUCCUUGGGGCUGAGGUAGUAGAUUGAAUAGUUGUGGAGCACGGUGCUCUCUCACUGAGAUAACUAUACAAUCUACUGUCUUUCCUAAGGCGACAGCCAAAUCAUCCACAAACCAACAUGGACUCGUUUGAAAUAACCACCUCACACAUGUCUACAGCCGGAUAGGAUAUUCAAUCACAUUACAGAAGUAAAAUUGGUUGUGAUUUAUGUUUCAUGUUGACUUUGUAAAUACGCUAGUGUGUCAGCGGAUGUGUGUCACGGGACUGCACUUUGGUGUCUUGACAGGGUGAGGUAGUAGGUUGUAUAGUUUGGUGGGAGGGAUCAAACCCUGUUCAGGUGAUAACUAUACAGUCUAUUGCCUUCCUUGUGGUACCAACUAUCUGCCCACUAGGGGAAACUCCCUGGAGUUUAAAUAUUGUUAAACCCUAUGGUCACACAAUAUGAACUAUAUUUAUGUAAAAGAAGGAGUGUUUCAGUUACAGUAUUCACACUGCCCACCUAAUCAAAGCAGCAUGUGUAAUACACAAAUAUGUUGAAAAUGCCCUAUUAACCUAUUUAUCAACACAAUCUUUUGCAGGAUAGACUUCUGUGAAGAAGCCAAGUAAUGAAGCAAACUCCCAACAAAACAAACACUUUUUUUCCAGUAUCUCUGACUGUGUUGAUUGAAUAAACAUUUAGAUGCAGAACCUCAUGUAAAUUACACUGCUGUUUGGAGACAGUAAGAUUUUUUAAAAUAAAUUUCAAGGAUGCUUAAAAGCGACAGUACAGACAUUUAGAACAUUACUAUUCAUUAAAAAAUUCU